AACGAACGCUGGCGGCAUGCCUAACACAUGCAAGUCGAACGAAGGCUUCGGCCUUAGUGGCGCACGGGUGCGUAACGCGUGGGAACCUGCCCUUUGGUUCGGAAUAACCAGGAGAAAUUCUGGCUAAUACCGGAUGAUGUCGAAAGACCAAAGAUUUAUCGCCAUAGGAGGGGCCCGCGUAGGAUUAGCUAGUUGGUGAGGUAAAGGCUCACCAAGGCGACGAUCCUUAGCUGGUCUGAGAGGAUGAACAGCCACACUGGGACUGAGACACGGCCCAGACUCCUACGGGAGGCAGCAGUGGGGAAUAUUGGACAAUGGGCGAAAGCCUGAUCCAGCAAUGCCGCGUGAGUGAUGAAGGCCUUAGGGUUGCAAAGCUCUUUUACCCGGGAUGAUAAUGACAGUACCGGGAGAAUAAGCCCCGGCUAACUCCGUGCCAGCAGCCGCGGUAA
rnacentral:rRNA from 1 species